ensembl:misc_RNA Metazoa_SRP Metazoan signal recognition particle RNA
GCCAGGUGCAGUGGCGCAUGCCUGUAGUCCCGGUUACUCGGGAGGAUGAGGUGGGAGAAUCAGUCAAGCCCAGGAGUUCUGGGCUGUAGUGUGCUAUGCCAGUCGGGUGUCUGUGCUAAGUUCGGCGUUGAUAUGGUGACCUCCAAGAGCAGGGGACCACCAGGUUGGAUAUGGAGCAGGUCAAAACUCCUGUGCUGAUCAGUAGUGGGAUUGCGCCUGUGAAUAGCCACUGUACUCCAGCCUGGACAAAAUAGCGAAACCCCAUCUCUU